UACGUAGGGGCCUAGCGUUGUCCGGAAUUAUUGGGCGUAAAGAGCUCGUAGGCGGUUCGGCAAGUCGGAUGUGAAAUCUCCACGCUUAACGUGGAGGGGCCAUUCGAAACUGCUGUGACUCGAGUCCGGUAGGGGAGUGUGGAAUUCCCGGUGUAGCGGUGAAAUGCGCAGAUAUCGGGAGGAACACCAGUAGCGAAGGCGGCACUCUGGGCCGGUACUGACGCUGAGGAGCGGAAAGCGUGGGGAGCGAACAGG
rnacentral:rRNA from 1 species